AGUGAACGCUGGCGGUAGGCCUAACACAUGCAAGUCGAACGGCAGCACAGUAAGAGCUUGCUCUUACGGGUGGCGAGUGGCGGACGGGUGAGGAAUACAUCGGAAUCUACUUUUUCGUGGGGGAUAACGUAGGGAAACUUACGCUAAUACCGCAUACGACCUACGGGUGAAAGCAGGGGAUCUUCGGACCUUGCGCGAUUGAAUGAGCCGAUGUCGGCUUAGCUAGUUGGCGGGGUAAAGGCCCACCAAGGCGACGAUCCGUAGCUGGUCUGAGAGGAUGAUCAGCCACACGGGAACUGAGACACGGUCCAGACUCCUACGGGAGGCAGCAGUGGGGAAUAUUGGACAAUGGGCGCAAGCCUGAUCCAGCCAUACCGCGUGGGUGAAGAAGGCCUUCGGGUUGUAAAGCCCUUUUGUUGGGAAAGAAAAGCAGCAGGUUAAUACCCCGCUGUUCUGACGGUACCCAAAGAAUAAGCACCGGCUAACUUCGUG
rnacentral:rRNA from 1 species